rnacentral:antisense_RNA from 1 species
UAUGACACGACAUUGCUCACAUUGCUUCCAGUGUAAUUUAUAGCUAUAUGGCAGAGCCGCAUGUUC